UAGGGAAUAUUAGAAAUGGACGAAAGUCUGAUCUAGCAACACCGCGUGUGCGAAGAAGGCCUUCGGGUUGUAAAGCACUUUUUGGAAGGAUUAGGAAGGAAUGUACUUCCAGAAUAAGUCUCGGCUAAAUACGUGCCAGCAGCCGCGGUAACACGUAGGAGGAGAACGUUAUCCGGAUUUACUGGGCGUAAAGCGCGUGUAGGUGGUUCUGUAAGUAGGGCGUGAAAGCUCCUGGCUCAACUGGGAGAGGCCGUUCUAAACUGCAGAGCUAGAGGAUGUGAGAGGGAGGUGGAAUUCCGGGUGUAGCGGUGGAAUGCGCAGAUAUCCGGAGGAACACCAGUGGCGAAGGCGGCCUCCUGGACCAUUCCUGACACUCAGACGCGAAAGCUAGGGUAGCAAACG
rnacentral:rRNA from 1 species